UACGUAGGGGGCUAGCGUUGUCCGGAAUCAUUGGGCGUAAAGCGCGUGUAGGCGGUCCGGUAAGUCCGCUGUGAAAGUCGGGGGCUCAACCCUCGGAUGCCGGUGGAUACUGUCGGGCUUGAGUACGGAAGAGGCGAGUGGAAUUCCUGGUGUAGCGGGUGAAAAUGCGCAGAUAUCAGGAGGAACAGCCAAUUGCGAAGGC
rnacentral:rRNA from 1 species